rnacentral:misc_RNA from 1 species
CCGUUAGGGACUGCAGCUGGAUCAUUUUCUGAUAUCCAUUAUACAAAAAAGAGCAUAUUUAUGUGCAUGUAUAAAUUGCACAGUAUGCAACCAAAAAUAUACAUAUAUGUUUUACAUGUAUGUGUUUCUAUAUGCCGUUUGACAUGGGAGAUGAGGGAUGCUAUACAUAGUUCUGUUAUUUUCUAUCAUGUAUGUGUGUUAGAGUGUCUGUGUUAAUAUACUUUUUAAUGCAUGCUCUACAUAAUAUACAGUAGUAAUAACACAGAGAAUACGUAUGGAAUGCGUAUCUCUCUAUAUAUAUUUAUGUAUAUAUGCUAUGUGUAUAUCAACCUCGCAUAUUUUCUCCCCGUGGACCCCAGCUCCCCCACCGCGUCUCGAUGGAUGACUUGUGUUCCUAUUUCUCUGAAAAAAACACCACAGAGCGAUAAGUGGGAUCUCUUGUGCAAACAUUUCUUUGUGCCCUCUUUGAACACAAACAGCGCAUGGGAGAAAAUCUCUCUAGCCAUCCCCCCGCGUGCGACAUUUCUCACAGUGUAAUAUAUAAACACAACACACACCUAUAUUGUGUUUUUCACAGCACACAAAAAAUCCCCCCCCCCCUUCUCCUCUCGUGGGGCAUAUACAUGUGUGUGAGAGUGCGCAUAUACGAUAUCUCUCUCCUCUCUCUACUCUCACAAUGUUGUGUGUGACACAUAUACGCGUGUGUAGUGAGUGAGAUAUAAAAGAAAUGUGAAAAGCGCAUAUGUAUAUGUGUAUACACAAUAUAUAUGUGUGUGUAGAUGUGUGUGUGCACAUAUAAAGAGAAAAGUGUGUGUGUAUACACAGAGACUGUGUCGCUGUGACACGUGUAUAUAUAUAUAUAUGUAUAUGUGUGUGUCCGCUGUGAGAUUUAUAUCUUACAGAGAGUGUUCAUAUAUAUAUGUUGUACGCAUGUAUUUUGCGCCCCGUAUAGAGAUAAAAAGAGAGAAACAGUAUGCAAAGACGCGCAGAUAGUGUGUAUGUUGUUAUCACAGCAAGCAACUAUAUUGCUGCCUGUAUAUAUGCAUAUAUGUACAUAUUGCUUGUCUCUCCGUUACGCUUCACUUUUAAUGUAUUUCAGACCUGAGUGGCAGACAUCGCUACUAGCAUUAUCGGAAAAAAACACAAGAGAGCU